rnacentral:rRNA from 1 species
UACGUAGGGGGCUAGCGUUGUCCGGAAUCAUUGGGCGUAAAGAGCGCGUAGGCGGCCAGAUAAGUCCGGUGUGAAAGUCACAGGCUCAACCUGUGAAUGCCGCUGGAAACUGUCUGGCUAGAGUCCGGAAGGGGCGAGUGGAAUUCCUGGUGUAGCGGUGAAAUGCGCAGAUAUCAGGAAGAACACCCGUGGCGAAGGCGGUUCUCUGGGACGGUACUGACGCUGAGACGCGAAAGCGUGGGGAGCGAACAGG